rnacentral:tRNA from 1 species
GGAAAGAUGGUCGAGUUGGUUUAAGGCACCGGUCUUGAAA